GGUCUUGUGGUCUAGUGGUAUGAUUCUCGCUUAGGGCUGUAACCCCGGGCAUUGCUUGCGAGAGGCCCCGCGUUCGAGUCGCGGCAAGACCC